rnacentral:rRNA from 1 species
UACGUAGGGUGCGAGCGUUAAUCGGAAUUACUGGGCGUAAAGCGUGCGCAGGCGGUUCGUUGUGUCGGCGGUGAAAGCCCCGGGCUUAACCUGGGAAUGGCAUUUGGGACUGCAAGGCUGGAGUACGGCAGAGGAGACUGGAAUUCCUAGUGUAGCAGUGAAAUGCGUAGAUAUCGAGAGGAACACCUGCGGCGAAGGCGGGUUGCUGGGCUGACACUGACGCUGAGGCGCGAAAGCUAGGGGAGCGAACGGG